rnacentral:misc_RNA from 1 species
CGAAGGAGAAUUUCCGUGGCAACCUUGCGUGCCGUGGGCCCUGGAGGAUGGCCGGACCGUGACCGACCACCUCCGAAAUGCAUCGGCUGACUGCGAGCCACCCCCCGUGUUAUAACCGCUCGACGAUUCACGUGGUGGAGCCCCGCAAGUCACGCCGCCCGAACCCCCAGUUCAGCCAUGCG